AUCAUACACACUCAAGGCUGGGGAAAUUUCUCUAUGUCAGCCUGGUGAGGGACACCCCCACAGCCUGAAGGAGCCAACCUCCAGGAGGAAAAAUGGUGCUUCCCAGAUACCUUGGGCUCUGCUAGGACCUUGAAUCCACCUGCUUCAGCUUUCCUGAAAGGGAUAGAAGACAGUCUCUGAAGUGAAGACUCCCUUGGGAAGAAGAAAAGACACAAAAUUUUGAGCUGACCCUCUAAAUGAAGGAAAGUGCAUGGGAAUGGAGACCGAUUUAACCUCUACUGCACAGGGGAGGGGAGAAAUUUGGUGGAUGUACUACAAAUGUCAUUGACAAGACUUCUGCAGUGCUCCUGAAGCCAACUUAAGAGAGACCAUUCUACUAAAAGCUUUCUAAAAUCAUUCUUAAAUUACGAUGCAUAAUCUCUUGAAUUUAAGUUAACGGCAAAAUU